rnacentral:lncRNA from 1 species
CACGAAGGGCAAUGCGGUUGGCUGCAAAGCCAGGGGUAAGCGAUUCUCUCACAAACACAUCCUGAAAACAGACUGUUGCGCCCUCUCUGACAUGUUUUAUAAGGCCUCCUGCACAGAAAGCACACAUAACCACAGAAUUCCUUACCAGGAGCAUUCCGUGGGGUUAAGGGCAUGCCUCGUAGGUAUCGCCUCCUGAUCGAAUCUUCUGCUUGUCUUAGAACACUCCGGUGGCAGCAGCGCCUCACCAUGGCCCAGUGUGUGAGUCUUCUGGUCUUUCUCCAUGGAGUGCUUGCAUUUCAGACACCAAUUCAAAACUUGAAGGGGAGACCAGAGAAUGCCUUUGACAGGAAGGCAGCUGACCCGCCAGCUCUGUGGCCUUCCAGUGUUUUGGGAGCAAGAGAUGUCAUUAGACCCGCCGUCAGCCCCGUGGCAAGUGUCCGGCUUCGGCCAGUGCCCGUCACCCCUAGACAAAAUCCGUCCACGGUAGCUCCUCGCUGGUUGGGGAGCAGAGCUCUGAGAGGCCCUGUCCCCACACCUCUCACCCAGGCCAGGAUACCACAGACAAAGGGACUGGCCUCUGUACCUAGAAACCGGGGGACCCACUUCGCUGUGUCAGCCAGGUUUCCUCCGACACCCCGAGUUCUGACGACUGCGGGUCUCCCCACAAACGGAGCCCUUCACGGCACCAGUGUCCCCACCUCUCCCACAACUAAGGAGCCCCGAGGAGAUAUGUAAGCCGAUGUGGCAGUGCCCCCUUCUCUUGGCAGGGGACCCACGUCUGUCUGUGUUGCUGUCUGGGUGCGGAGAGCAACGUUUGGGAGAAGUGUUCACACUCUGGGGGCCCAGGCAAUCACCCCUGUGAUGUACCCUGGGAACCCGGCUCUAUUACGGGAUUCACCUCAAUCACCAACUCCUCUAGACGUGAAAUUCUCAAGAAGGAAGCUUCACGGCCCCCGAGAAAGUGAUUUUGUCACGUGCUCUGUGACUCUGAGGCAAUUCCUCACUCUUACCGAAAAAUCAAAUGGUGGGGUGGCUCAGUCGGUUGGGCGUCCGACUUUGGCUCAGGUCAUGAUCUCACGGUCUGUGAGUUCCAGCCCCGUCGGGCUCUGUGCUGAUGGCUCAGAGCCUGGAGCCUGUUUCAGAUUCUGUGUCUCCCUCUCUCUCUGACCCUCUCCCGUUCAUGCUCUGUCUCUGUCUCAAAAAUAAAUAAACGUUAAAAAAAAAAAAAAGAAAAAUC